rnacentral:lncRNA from 1 species
GGGAAACUUUGCGGUGGUGGCUAGAAAUUGAUGGAAACGGUAGGGGAAAACACACGAACUGGACUGUAAUAAGACCUAACCAGCAACAAGACCUCGACCAGGACAAACUCAACAAUGCGGACUCUGAAACUAAAAUAUGCAGAGGCUAUGGCGUGGAAGGGUUGUAGGACACGAAAACGAUAUGGUACUGGACUUAUGGGACGAACACAGGAACACUCGAAACUAAGGGUAGAUGUGAACCUAAUGGUAUACCUAAAGCUUUGAUUACCACUUGAUGAGAAAAAGGGUGGCCCGAUCUUCCGAAAGGUUCUGGUAACUCUCGAUUUGGUGGAGACGAGACACAAAUCGAUCCGGCUUCCGAACAACACGAUCUGAAACCCUACAGUUGUUUUUUAUUUUUUUGAUAUUUUUCUUUUAGUUAGGAGCACCGAAAGAGUAACCACAUAAAAUUUGAGUUCAGACAAGUGAAAGACACGGCCUGCGGAAUUUUCUGAAGAUUGUGAAAAAUGUGAAAAAAACAUCACGAGGUGAAAACGCAAACUUCGGAGGUGAAUUUGGAGGUCCUAAAAUUUUCAAACCUGCCAAAGGCAGGGACAUACAGAUCUGAAUUUUUUUCUGAUCGAUUUUGAUAUAUGGAACGUUGAAAUCGGAGUUCGUAUGGGAAAGUUAUGGCUAUUUUACGAACGGACUCCGAAUUAGAGGACAAAACGGUCCAAAAGUGGGAAAACUUUGCGGUGGUGGCUAGAAAUUGAUGGAAACGGUGGGGAAAAACACACGAACUAGACUCUAACAAGACCUAACCAGCAACAAGACCUCAACCAAGACACAAACUCAACACUGCGGACUCUGAAACUGAAAUAUGCAAAGGCUAUGGCGCGGAAGGGUUGUAGGACAUGAAAACGAUAUGGCCCUGGACGUUUGGGACGAACACAAGAACACUCGAAACUAAGGGUAGAUGUGAACCUAACGGUAUACCUAAAGCUUUGAUUACCACUUGAUGAGAACAAGGGUGACCUCAUCUUCCAAAAGGUUUGUAACUCUCGAUUUGGUGCAGACGAGACACAAAUCGAUCCGGAUUCCGAACAACACGAUACAAAACCCUACAAUUUUUUUAUUUUUUCGAUAUUCUUCUUUUAGUUAGGAGUAACCACAGAAAAUUUGAGCUUAAACAAGUUAAAGACAUGGCCUGCGGAAUUUUCUGAAGAUUGUGAAAAAUGUGAAAAAAACUUCACGAGGUGAAAACUCAAAGUUCGGAGGAGAAUUUUGAGGUUCUAAAAUUUUCAAACCCCCCUACAACGGGGACAUGCAGAUCCAAAAUUUUUUUCUGAUCGAUUUUGAUAUAUGGAACAUUGAAAUCGGAGUUCGUAUGCGAAAGUUAUGGCUAUUUUACAAACGAACUCUGAAUUAUAGGACAAAACGGUCCGAAAGUGGAAAAAAUUUGCGGCGGUGGCUAGAAAUUGAUGGAAACAAAGGGGAAAAAGACACAAACUGGACUCUAACAAGACCUAUCCAGCAACAAGACCUCAACCAGGACAAACUCAACACUGCAGACUCUAAAACUGAAAUAUGCAGAGGCUAUGGCGCGGAAGGGUUGUAGGACUGGAAAACGAUAUGUUAUUGGACUUAUGGGACGAACACAGGAACACUCGAAACAAAGGGUAGAUGUGAACCUAAUGGUAUACCUAAUGCUUUGAUUACCACUUGAUGAGAACAAAGGUGGCCUGAUCUUCCGAAAGGUUCUGGUAACUCUCGAUUUGGUGGAGACGAGACACAAAUCGAUCCGGAUUCCGAAAAACACGAUCCGAAACCUUGCAAUUGUUUUUUAUUUUUUUGAUAUUUUUAUUUUAGUUAGGAGCACGAAAAGAGUAACCACAUAAAAUUUGAGUUUAAACAAGUGAAAAACAUGGCCUGUGGAAUUAUCUGAAGAUUGUGAAAAAUGUGAAAAAACUUCACGAGGUGAAAACUCAAACUUUGGAGGUGAAUUUGCAGGUUCUAAAAUUUUCAAACCCACCAAAAGCUAGGACACACAGAUCCAAAAAUUUUUUCUGAUCGAUUUUGAUAUAUGGAACGUUGAAAUAGGAGUUCGUAUGGGAAAGUUAUGGCUAUUUUACGAACGGACUCCGAAUUAGAGGACAAAACGGUCCAAAAGUGGGAAAAAAUUGCGGUGGUGGCUAGAAAUUGAUGGAAACGGUGGGGAAAAACACACGAACUAGACUCUAACUAGACCUAACCAGCAACAGGACCUCAACAAGAACACAAACUCAACACUGCGGACUCUGAAACUGAAAUAUGCAAAGGCUUUGGCGUGAAAGGGUUGUAGGACACGAAAAUGAUAUAGCACUGGACUUAUGGUACAAACACAAGAACACUCGAAACUAAGGGUGGAUGUGAACCUAACGGUAUACCUAAAACUUUGAUUACCACUUGAUGAGAACAAGAGUGACCUGAUCUUUCAAAAGGUUCUGGUAACUCUAGAUUUGGUGGAGACGAGAAACAAAUCGAUCCGGCUUCCGAACAACAUCAUAUGAAACCGUGCAAUUUUUUUAUUUUUUUGAUAUUUUUGUUUUAGUUAUGAGCACCAAAGGAGUAACCACAGAAAAUUUGAGCUUAAACAAGUGAAAGACAUGGCCUGUGGAAUUUUUUGAAGAUUGUGAAAAAUGUGAAAAAAACUUCACGAGGUGAAAACUCAAACUUUGGAGGUGAUGUUUGAGGUUCUAAAAUUUUCAAACCCAACAAUGGAGGGGACAGACAGAUCCAAAAAAAAAUUUUGGAUCGAUUUUGAUAUAUGGAACGUUGAAAUCGGAGUUCGUAUGCGAAAGUUAUGGCUAUUUUACGUACGGACUACGAAUUAGAGGACAAAACCGUCCGAAAGUGGGGAAAAUUUGCGGUGGUGGCUAGAAAUUGAUGGAAACGGUAGGGGAAAACACACGAACUGGACUGUAAUAAGACCUAACCAGCAACAAGACCUCGACCAGGACAAACUCAACAAUGCGGACUCUGAAACUAAAAUAUGCAGAGGCUAUGGCGUGGAAGGGUUGUAGGACAGGAAAACGAUAUGGUACUGGACUUAUGGGACGAACACAGGAACACUCGAAACUAAGGGUAGAUGUGAACCUAAUGGUAUACCUAAAGCUUUGAUUACCACUUGAUGAGAAAAAGGGUGGCCCGAUCUUCCGAAAGGUUCUGGUAACUCUCGAUUUGGUGGAGACGAGACACAAAUCGAUCCGGCUUCCGAACAACACGAUCUGAAACCCUACAGUUGUUUUUUAUUUUUUUGAUAUUUUUCUUUUAGUUAGGAGCACCGAAAGAGUAACCACAUAAAAUUUGAGUUCAGACAAGUGAAAGACACGGCCUGCGGAAUUUUCUGAAGAUUGUGAAAAAUGUGAAAAAAACAUCACGAGGUGAAAACGCAAACUUCGGAGGUGAAUUUGGAGGUCCUAAAAUUUUCAAACCUGCCAAAGGCAGGGACAUACAGAUCUGAAUUUUUUUCUGAUCGAUUUUGAUAUAUGGAACGUUG